rnacentral:lncRNA from 1 species
AAGUGAAGCCUGGCGAUGCUAAGUGAAGCCUGGCGAUGCUAAGCGAAGCCUGUCGAUGCUAAGUGAUGUUAAGUGAAGCCUGGCGAUGCUAAGUGAAGCCUGGCGAUGCUAAGUGAAGCCUGGCGAUGCUAAGUGAAGCCUGGCGAUGCUAAGCGAAGCCUGUCGAUGCUAAGUGAUGUUAAGUGAAGCCUUGCGAUGCUAAGUGAAGCCUGGCGAUGCUAAGUGAAGCCUGGCGAUGCUCAGUGAAGCCUGGCAAUGCUAAGUGAAGCCUGGCGAUGCUAAGUGAAGCCUGGUGAUGAUGUCUGGCAAUGACUUGCAAUGUCUGGUGAUGGUGAAUGAUGCAAGGUGUGGUCUGAUAAUGAUUUGUCAUGUCUAGUAAUGCUUGGUGAUGUCUGGUGAUGCUUGGUGAUGUCUGGUGAUGCUUGGUGAUGUCUGUUGAUGUCAGGUAAUAACUUGCAAUGUUUGGUGAUGACAGGUCAUGUCUAGUAAUGCUUGGAGAUGUCUGGUGAUGCUUGGUGAUGUCUGGUGAUGCUUGGUGAUGUCUGUUGAUGUCAGGUAAUAACUUGCAAUGUUUGGUGAUGACAGGUCAUGUCUAGUAAUGCUUGGUGAUGUCUGGUGAUGCUUGGUGAUGUCUGGUGAUGCUUGGUGAUGUCUGUUGAUGUCAGGUAAUAACUUGCAAUGUUUGGUGAUGACAGGUCAUGUCUAGUAAUGCUUGGUGAUGUCUGGUGACGUCCAGUGACGUCCAGUGAUGAUUGGAGAAAUAUCAUCUACACAGAAGUCAAUAUUUAAAGGAUAUCUAAAAGCAUAUAACUUUAGUAAUUUUUAAAAGGUGUUAAGGUGAGAGAUCUCUAUGUGAGAAAUAUUGCAUGAUUCUUCCCAGGUGUCACUGAGCACAGUCAAGUGUGGAAAGGUGGCAGAGCAAGGAAUGGUUAUCUUUAUUGUAAACAUUAUGGACUUCCACAGUGCUACAGCUUCUCCUGAAUAUGUUGUAUUUGUUGACAUGGGCCUCCAUUCACAAAGCACUAAGGUGAUCGUAAGUCACUAAGGUAGCCUUAGUGCAAUGUUAAAGAUGGGAGUUCAGGUUAACCUUAGUAAAGGUUGUUUCGUGAAAGGAGCCCCAGGGCAGCCUGAAAAAAGAACAAUUGUUACACUCCACACUUUCACAACUGGUGUAACAGCCACAGUGUAACAUACUGACUACAGCCGUGUGAAGCCGUGUCCCUGGGAAGCAGACCCCUCCAGUUCAGUUUUUGUGAGGCACAUCUUUGUCAUUCUGUCUCCAGGAUCAUGCUCAUGGCUUGCAUUUAAGUGAUAGACUUUGAAUGUGAGUUCUUCAUUGUUUCUGAUGCGUUAGUUUUAGGAAUCUAAACGUGUGGAGAUUGCUUAGACUAAAAUGGUUUUCACAUGUUUAAGAAAUAUGCCAUGUGAUUUAGUGACAUCGAUGUUCAGUCUAAUGUUUAAAAAAAUUAAGCUGAGGGUUAGCAGUUGUGCUUAUGUGUAUGUGCUUUAUUGAGAAAUUAACAAAUAUUGCACAAAGACUGAAACAUCUACAAAAUAUUUUACAUGAAUAUUUGUUAAGCCUUAGUAUCUUGUAUGCAGUUGUAAACAUUUCAAGACGAAUUGUUAAGUUAUUGUUAUGUUUGUGUGAUGUAAAUAUCAUAUGUGCAAUAUGGAGUGUACUUAUGUAAAUUUUGUGGAAGUAUUUAAUUCACAUCUAUGAAGGAGGAAUGCCUCCAAGUGGAGAAUACUGUACAUUGCAUUGAAUAAAGAGCUGAAGCUUCA